rnacentral:lncRNA from 13 species
AUGAUAAUAAACAGGUGUCCUCUUAGACACCGUGCUGUGUCCUACUGUCUCUCCUCCUCCACCACUCUGUCACUUUUUACUCAUCUACCACUCACCCUCACAGGUCUCUCCUCCUCCACCACUCGGUCACUUUUUACUCAUCUACCACUCACCCUCACAGGUCCACGACAUUACGUCACCACCGCGGGGAAACAAGGAGUACAGCCAAAAGUGACAACAACAGACGGCAUUCUCUGUUAUGUUGUUUGAUUAUGGUCCGCACCCACACUCACGCACACACAUACUCAUGCACGUGCACACACACACACUGUAUUUCAAACAGCUCGGUUAUGAUUUGGUUCCAGAUGGUGUAAUUAGUUAUUCAUAUUUUAAUGUAUUCCUCGGUUUCAUCUUUCAGGACAUAUGAUAUGGUAAACAAUAUAUUAAUACUCAGCAGUGAUCUGUAUGCUUAUGUAAUAUUAUGCAAUACAGACUGUUAUCAAGGCAACCUGUGGUCUCGUUUGUGGUCCUUUAGCGCCCCCACAUGUUUUUUUUCUACAUGCACAGCUGUGGAUAAGGCCUUGUUUUUUCCAUAUGAAAUGCUGUGUCUGAUUCAUUGAUCAUUUUCUAUCUUCAGUGAAACUUUAAAUACAUUUUGUUUGGACUCUUUUUCAUUGUCAUAUUCCAUUCCCACGUGAUCAUCGGUCUAUUAUUGUAACCCAAGAGGUCAAAGGUCAAAUGUGUACCUUGACCACAAGAUGGCGCCAAUAAAUUCACUUGAAUUUAUAUAUCAGGGCUGCCAAACUUCUGGUUUUCAUCCUCUCCUUCCAAUCAGGGACUAAUUCAGACCUGGGACACCAGGUGAGUGCAAUUAACUACCAGGUAGAAACAAAAAAACAGAAGUGUUUUGGCCCUCCAGGACCAGGGUUGAACAGCCCUGGUCUAUAUUGAGGUCUUAAUCCUAACGAGAGACUUACAUGAUGUGACUCAGACNNNNNNNNNNGUAGUUUGGUAUUUUCCUCCACCACUUGUGCAAAGAAUAACCAACUACCUCUACAGCUCUUAACUGAUGUACUCCUCGACUGUAGAGUUAAACACAAAUUAUUCAAUAUUUACUUUGGAUUUCCUCAGGGUUGCAGAUAAACAUACUGUACAGUCAAAAAAUAAAAUUAAGGUCAUUUUUGUACAGUCUUAUCUCAAUAGAGCUACAAGCCCCUGGUACAGGACCUGAUAGUGGGAGAUCUGGAAGUACAGUGCAUGGAUAUAAUGUUUUAUUUGAUUUAAAGUAUAUGGCUUUGUACUCUGUGUGAGGCAGGGAUCUGCAUACAGAUCUGAUUUGAUCUUGAUCUUGAUCUUGAUUUGAUUUGAUUUGAUUUGAUUUGAGAUAGACUAGGACGCUGCCUAGGUAAAUCAAUCGUCUAUCUAUCACCUUUAACCUUUGCCCCAUGACCCCCUGCCGCUGCUUCCACCACCAGACAGACCACGAGCAGAUGGGUGUGUCGAGAGUGUUCGCUCUCUCUCCCCUCUCUAUCUCUCUCUCUCUCUCUGUGUUCCUUUCGCUCUCUCCUUGUCUCGAUCUCGCUCUCUCUGUCUCGCUCUUUCUCUCUCUGUGUCUCUGUCUCUCUCUCUCUCUUUCCCCUCUCUCUAUUUUUGUAUUUUUCUCUCUUUAAGUUAAGUCAUCUCUCUAUGCUCCUGUCCUUUCUUCUCUCUCUCUGACUGUUCCUCUUCUGUACUCUCUGCCCCUAGGACAGGUCACAUUGAUGUUUGCUCCAG